UUAAUUGAAGAGUUUGAUCAUGGCUCAGAUUGAACGCUGGCGGCAGGCCUAACACAUGCAAGUCGAGCGGUAACAGGAGAAAGCUUGCUUUCUUGCUGACGAGCGGCGGACGGGUGAGUAAUGUAUGGGGAUCUGCCCGAUAGAGGGGGAUAACUACUGGAAACGGUGGCUAAUACCGCAUAAUGUCUACGGACCAAAGCAGGGGCUCUUCGGACCUUGCACUAUCGGAUGAACCCAUAUGGGAUUAGCUAGUAGGUGGGGUAAAGGCUCACCUAGGCGACGAUCUCUAGCUGGUCUGAGAGGAUGAUCAGCCACACUGGGACUGAGACACGGCCCAGACUCCUACGGGAGGCAGCAGUGGGGAAUAUUGCACAAUGGGCGCAAGCCUG
rnacentral:rRNA from 1 species